rnacentral:rRNA from 1 species
CCUACGGGUGGCAGCAGUGAGGAAUAUUGGUCAAUGGGCGUGAGCCUGAACCAGCCAAGUAGCGUGAAGGAUGACUGCCCUACGGGUUGUAAACUUCUUUUAUAAAGGAAUAAAGUGAGGCACGUGUGCCCUUUUGUAUGUACUUUAUGAAUAAGGAUCGGCUAACCCCGUGCCCGCAGCCGCGGUAAUUCGGAGGAUCCGAGCGUUAUCCGGAUUUAUUGGGUUUAAAGGGAGCGUAGAUGGGUUGUUAAGUCAGUUGUGAAAGUUUGCGGCUCAACCGUAAAAUUGCAAUUGAUACUGGCAGUCGGGAGUGCGGUUGAGGUAGGCGGAAUUCGUGGUGUAGCGGUGAAAUGCUUAGAUAUCACGAAGAACUCCGAUUGCGAAGGCAGCUUACUAGACUGCAACUGACAUUGAUGCUCGAAAGUGUGGGUAUCGAACAGGAUUAGAUACCCCGGUAGUC